CUAAGACCAUCUCCAA
rnacentral:sRNA from 1 species